GGAUUAGAACGAGUGAGAAGGAGAUGAGGGAAAGGAUUAGAAGAAGGAGGGAUUAGGAAAAAAAAAUUCAUGGAUUAGGACCUGGUGCUCUAAUACUAUGUUGAACACGGAGGAAAGGAGGAAAAGAGAGAUUAUUUUUUAUUAUUUUCAAAUGGGGUAGAGUAGUCCCCAUUAUAUACAAUAUUUAAUCUUUUUACAAGGAAAUAGCACAAUCCAUUGCCAUCUAGAUUUUUUUAAUUAAAAAAUAUAUUAUAAUCCAAAGUCACUAUUAUCUCUAAUUAGAAUAUUUAAUUAGGGUAAUAUAGCUUAUUUUUCAACGGUUAGAAAGGAAGGAGAUGAGAAGGCGAA
rnacentral:lncRNA from 1 species